GGGGGGAAAAUGAGAGAAUCAGGUCACUGAGCUGGAGCCAGGAAAAAUCCACAGGAGUGGAAAUUGGAGCGAUGAAAGCAUUUCAUAUUAACACAUCCAAAGCCUGAAUGGGCCCGGCCCAGAGGAUGUCUUCCCCCUCCUGGAAAGCGGCUGGGGGGCUGAAAGACCUCUAGGCUUUUCUCUGUCAAAUUCAUUCACUAAUCAGCGCUAUUCAGCCAAUCGCCCAUGUGGUCUUCUGCGCGGUGCCCUGCAAAGCGCCAGGACCACAUAGCAACGAUUAUAAUCAAAACCACUGGAGACUCUUAUGUCAGCUUCUGAAAUACGACGCUUCAAAGGCAGACAUGCCUCCAAUGAAAACCAGCACUUUCUUUCUCUUGCUUUCUUUCUGCCAAGUCUACAGUUUUAGAUUCAAGCACUUGAUAAUUAUAUAUCAAUAGAGACAGAAUGCAUUUUGCCUAAAGCAAAGACAUAAAUGGUUUUAAGGGCAGGCACAGUGUCACAUGUCAGUAGACAUUAGCUGAGGUUAAACUCUGCUGAUGUGACUAGAAUAUUGACAUCUCUGUUAGAGUCAAUAUCUCGAAAUUGACGGUGUGGCUUGGCAUACCUAUUUCCUUAAUGAUUUUCCAGUGUAAUACAAACAUAUCUAACAGCACUCCACACAUCUCAGGGGCUUACACUCCUGCCUCUCCUGUGUUCAUCAGACUGCCAAAGCUUUUUGUUAUCCAAACUUCAGCUGAAAGUGGGAUAUGAGGCACAAAGUACAAUCCUGAAAAUAUUGGCCAAAAAAAUAUGUUUCCCUCUCUCUCCCUACCUAGCUAUGUACCUACCUCUCUAUCUUCUAUCUUGUUUGUAUGGCUAAUUAUGCUGCACCUCAGACCUUCGUCACCCAACUCCAGGCAAGUUUCCUUGAGUACAGACACCCAGAAAAGACUGAGAGACAAAAACACAGAAAAACAUGACUUUGCUCAGCAAGAAAACCCAAGAGAAAUGUGCUUCUGUCCUCUGGUUUACGCAUUGAUCUCUGAUUUCCUGGUUCUCUACCUGCCCUGCUGCAGCUAGCCUCACCUCACGUGGCAAGUUGUUGAUGACUAAGGCGGAGGUUUUGUUUUAUUUUAUCUGGAUAAUUCCAGAUGUUAAUGACUUCCAAAACGCUUAUCCCUCUGUUUCUGCUCGGUUUGACUUUCUAAGUCCAUGCAUCCACUUAUGAUGCUACCUAGACCAUGAUUCUGAACUCUAGUUCUAUAGGAGAGUCUGACAGAGAGUUUUAAAAAUAUACUCAUCCCCAAGCAGUUGAAAUAGAUUACCUGGAAUAGGCUAACCAGUAUCCUUUAAUUAAAAAAAAUGGCAAAACUCUUGUCUAAACUACGUUCGGUUAUCUAUUGCUGUAUAAUAAACAACAUCCCUAAGGGCUU
rnacentral:lncRNA from 1 species